ACCAAUUAACUGGCACCAUGUUCAAGAAAGCAGUCCACCUCCAAAAACUCUACAGCCACCUCACCCUGACAACUCGCUGAAACAUGUAGGCUGUGGCCAGGGAUUGGACCCGGGGCCCUGUAGGGAAUACAGUGUGAUGUGGUACUACGACCCGCAGGCCAAUGCAUGUGCACAGUUUUGGUACGGUGGCUGCCAAGGCAAUAGCAACCGCUUUGAAACAGAGGACAUUUGUAAAAGCACUUGUGUGCAGACAUAACACACUCUGACAAUGAAGCAUCAUUCAGCAGAUUGUGUUUUUUAUCAAGCUGUAUCAGUCAUGCACUAUGCAGGUGUUUUAUUAUUAUUAUUAUAGUAAAGGUUUUUAUGAGAACAGUAAAACUGUAGAUCAGAUUUGCCUGCAUUAUAGUGGCCAACACUUACAGUAAUUAUUGACUAGACUUAGCACUGCUACAUUUUUUAGAGAAUAACUUGCAUAU
ensembl:processed_transcript